UUUUGACAAGUUUUGGGCCAUGACUUAUGGAUAGAUUUCCUCCCCAAAGUUCCACAGAUUCCCUGGUGGUUCUGUAGUCUGGAGUGAGAGUGGGCCGACUUUUGAAGUCUUUCGCUUCGGCGCCUGCUCCUUUUCCCUUAGCUGCUGCUUCAACGACUUGGAAACGCCUCUCCACCUCUCCACUCUCAGACGCCGCUCUCUCUAACCCAGGUUCCUCUCUCUCUCUCUCUGUUUGCCUAUCUAUCUCCCUCCUGUACUUACAAAUGAUACCUUGAGAAUCUGAGCAACCAAAAUACAUAUACACUAAUGGGUUUUCCUGAAUGUAAGUGAAAGGACUGUUUGAUUCAUUUGGUUGGGUACGAGAAUUGUGCCCUGCAUAUGCAUCUUAGGCAAUCUUUGCCUUUGAGUUUCAUAUGGGUUUUAGAAGUAGUAGGUUAGGGAAGCUUGAAAAGUAAAAACUUUGCUGUAUGUGAAGAAGAGGUGGUUGAUUCUUGGGUGUUUUGUCUUUUGACUUUGCACUUACAUUUGCUUCCUUUAUAGUGUGUUUGCUCAGGUGUUUUGAUUGAUUUCGUCAAGUAUAUCUGAAUAAAGCAUCCCAUGAGGAGAUGUACUUGUUGAAUAGUUAUUAAAAUCCUUAGUGCUAAAAACCCAGUUGCCCCUUUUGUUUCCCUUUAAAUGUAAGAAAAAAAAAGCAAAAUUCUUGUUUUUAUAGUGACCCAUGACUGGUGAAGCCUAAGAGAUACUACGUGAUCAGCUUAGAUUACAGUUGAGUGUAAAACUAUUGACCAACUUUCUUCUAAUGAAUCAUUAAUGCCAGGAAGAUUGAAGAAAAUCUUGAGAAAGCUGUGUGGGGUUCCCUCAUGGAAGCUAUUGUUAAAAGCCUUGACUAUGUUCU
rnacentral:lncRNA from 1 species